UACAGAGGGGGGCAAGCGUUAUUCGGAAUUAUUGGGCGUAAAGGGCGCGUAGGCGGCUUGGCAAGUGGAUGGUGAAAUCCCUCGGCUUAACCGAGGAACUGCCGUCCAAACUGCUUCGCUUGAGACCGGGGAGAGGUGAGUGGAAUUCCCAGUGUAGCGGUGAAAUGCGUAGAUAUUGGGAGGAACACCAGUGGCGAAGGCGGCUCACUGGACCGGUACUGACGCUGAAGCGCGAAAAGCGUGGGGAGCAAACGGG
rnacentral:rRNA from 1 species